rnacentral:rRNA from 1 species
CCUACGGGGAGCAGCAGUGAGGAAUAUUGGUCAAUGGGAGAGAUCCUGAACCAGCCAAGCCGCGUGAGGGAAGACGGCCCUAUGGGUUGUAAACCUCUUUUGUCGGAGAACAAAACCCGGGACGUGUCCCGGACUGCGUGUAUCCGAAGACAAAGCAUCGGCUAACUCCGUGCCAGCAGCCGCGGUAAUACGGAGGAUGCGAGCGUUAUCGGGAUUUAUUGGGUUAAAAGGGUGCGUAGGCGGUCCGUUAAGUCAGCGGGAAAAUUGCGGGGCUCAACCCCGUCGAGCCGUUGAAACUGGGAGACUUGAGUGGGGGAGAAGUACGCGGAAUGCGCGGUGUAGCGGUGAAAUGCAUAGAUAUCGCGCAGAACUCCGGUUGCGAAGGCAGCGUACCGGCGCCAGACUGACGCUGAGGCACGAAAGCGUGGGGAUCGAACAGGAUUAGAUACCCCUGUAGUC